rnacentral:lncRNA from 1 species
AUUUUUAAAUUGAUUGGCACUUCAGCUAUAGUAAAAUUGUAAAUUUAAACUCUUCUACGUAGCAGCUAUUUCUGUUCAAAUGGGAAUUCACUACUAGAGAAUAAAUGUCUAUGUAGUCUUACUGCAGUGAUGUAGAUAAGGACUUAAACAUUAAAUUAUUAAUAACAACCAAAUACGUCAUUUGACUGAAUUGUUACUAUAGAUGAAACUUAACUUUUCCUGCUUGUAUGUUGUUUUCUGUAGAGUUGCCUUUAUACAGAUUAUUUAGCAGAGUUCAAGUCUCAGAGAAUUGCUUUUGCUCAGUAAAUUUAGACUCUGCUACUUUUCACCUUUGUGAUCAGUAAAACUUAUGAAAAAGACAAAAGCAUGCUCAACAAAGCUGUAGGUUUUUAAGUUCAGUCUCUCAACUUAGUCAUUCUGACAUAACUAUUUGAUUGAUUUGAGGUGGUUGCUGUGGUGCUGCUCCAGCCCAUGUGCAUCCUGAGCUUUGUGUGAUCAGUCUUGAGGCUGUGAUCUGAGCAAGUGGAAGAUGUACUUUUGGCAUCACAUCAGAAAAUGUCCUUUUGGCUAUGUCUGAAGGACAGGACCAACUUCAGAUUCCCUAAGAAGCCAGCCAUAGAAAGCCUAGGACACUGUUGUCUUGCAGGCAGUACUAAAGUAUAUCUUCAGCCUCUUCAAUACCAGAGGCAUCCCUACUGGUUGAGAACGACAAGGGGAGACCUUAAUGGGACCUUACCAGAAGUGGAAUCAUAUGAGUCCUCUGAAGUGAGUGAUUCUGAAGAAUCUGAAGAGGUACUUCCCUGGAAUAAUUGCCUGCCUGAAGAAAAAAUUUACAUAUAUAUUUAUAUCCCUGUCAUAGUGUAAAGAGAUUGUCAUAGUGUAAAUCAGAAACAACCUUGUUAUUGACCAUCUCAGGAACCAGAACAAAAGGAAUUGGCUUCAAGGGAUCUGAGCCUCACUGCCCUUUUCAUUUUAAUGCUUUAAUGAUUUCUGCAUUGGCAGAAAAUUUCAUA